rnacentral:SRP_RNA from 1 species
CCAUACCAGUCGGGGCAGUAGCGGCGCCUUGUACCUGAAAUCCGCUAUAGCAGGGGUUCAUUCCCAACCCGAGGAUUGCUUUUGUGUAGUCUACACCGUCAUUAUCUAUGUUGAAGAAUGGGUCUUGCGCAACGCGAGGCUGUGAACCAUGUCAGGUGGGGAACCAAGCAGCAUUAAGCGGUUUAUCGCGUGUGCCGCGAGGGUGCCUGUUCGGAGCAGAGGUGGCGGUUACCGUAUGUAAGAGUAUUUUCGACGGUGGGUGUAUGG